GUGGAGGAGGACGCCGAAGGUGGGGCUAAUGACUGGGGUGAAGUCGUAACAAGGUAGCCGUACCGGAAGGUGCGGCUGGAUCACCUCCUAACAGGGAGACAACAAAAUGUAAAUAUUAAUUUUGUCACCUUAGGUCGAUCGGUAUCUCAGAUUCUUAUUUUUUAAGAAUUUCAGUUUCUAAGUUUUUUCUAGGUCACACCCAUCACUUUUUCCUGGGCCAUUAGCUCAGGUGGUUAGAGCGCACCCCUGAUAAGGGUGAGGUCCCUGGUUCAAGUCCAGGAUGGCCCAUAUCUCUAUGUUGGGGGUAUAGCUCAGUUGGUAGAGCGCCUGCUUUGCAAGCAGGAUGUCAGCGGUUCGAGUCCGCUUACCUCCACUGAAUACCACCUCUUACAUAUAUUUAAAGAGGGAAAUUGUUUUAGUUGUGUCCUAAUUUGCUCUGAAAGAAUCUAGCUUCCUAUUUUAUUCAAUAAAUAAGAUGCUGGACUCAUUGAAUUUUUUUCAUUGUUUUCAGAGAACCUUGACAACUGCAUAGAUUAUUUUUGAAGACAAUAAGCAUCUUUAAUGAUGCAGAUUUAUUAUUUGUGCGAAUGCAUUAAAUAACAAUUCUAUUAAGCUGAUGCUUCAAUUAUUGAAGUUAUUGGUCAAGCUACAAAGGGCUCACGGAGGAUACCUAGGCAC
rnacentral:misc_RNA from 1 species